UAGGGAAUCUUCGGCAAUGGACGAAAGUCUGACCGAGCAACGCCGCGUGAGUGAAGAAGGUUUUCGGAUCGUAAAACUCUGUUGUUAGAGAAGAACAAGGACGUUAGUAACUGAACGUCCCCUGACGGUAUCUAACCAGAAAGCCACGGCUAACUACGUGCCAGCAGCCGCGGUAAUACGUAGGUGGCAAGCGUUGUCCGGAUUUAUUGGGCGUAAAGCGAGCGCAGGCGGUUUCUUAAGUCUGAUGUGAAAGCCCCCGGCUCAACCGGGGAGGGUCAGUGGAAACUGGGGGACUUGAGUGCAGAAGAGGAGAGUGGAAUUCCAUGUGUAGCGGUGAAAUGCGUAGAGAUAUGGAGGAACACCAGUGGCGAAGGCGGCUCUCUGGUCUGUAACUGACGCUGAGGCUCGAAAGCGUGGGGAGCAAACAGG
rnacentral:rRNA from 1 species